GUGACAGCCGCCGCGGUAAUACGAGUGCCUCAAGCGUUAUCCGGAAUCAUUGGGCGUAAAGGAUGUGUAGGUGGUUACAUUAGUCUUCUGUUAAAUCUCCCGGCUCAACCGGGAAUCUGCAGGGGAAACGGUGUGACUAGAGGAUGCAAGGGGUCUGCGGAACUCAUAGUGUAGCGGUGAAAUGCGUUGAUAUUAUGGGGAACACCAAAAGCGAAGGCAGCAGACUGGGGCACUCCUGACACUGAAACAUGAAAGCGUGGGUAGCGAAUGGGAUUAGAUACCCUGGUAGUCC
rnacentral:rRNA from 1 species